CCUACGUGUGGCUGCAGUGGGGAAUAUUGCACAAUGGGGGAAACCCUGAUGCAGCAACGCCGCGUGAAGGAAGACGGUUUCGUAUUGUAAACUUCUAUCAAUCGGGAAGAAAGAAAUCACGGUACCUAAAUAAGAAGCCCCGGCUAACUACGCGCCAGCAGCCGCGGCAAUACGUAGGGGGCAAGCGUUAUCCGGAAUUACUGGGUGUAAAGGGAGAGUAGGCGGCAAGGUAAGCGAUAUGUGAAAGCCUUAAGCUUAACUUAAGGAUGGCAUAACGAACUAUCUGGCUAGAGUGCAGGAGAGGAAAGCGGAAUUCCUAGUGUAGCGGUGAAAUGCGUAGAUAUUAGGAAGAACACCAGUGGCGAAGGCGGCUUGCUGGACUGAAACUGACGCUGAGGCUCGAAAGCGUGGGGAGCGAACAGGAUUAGAUACCCCUGUAGUC
rnacentral:rRNA from 1 species